rnacentral:lncRNA from 1 species
AUUAAAAAAACCCUGUGGCGUAGCGAGUGAUCGGGAGAAGGGGUCUGUCAAUCUCAGUGCGACGCCAAAUAGUCUCCAAGACAAACAAGACUUCCCGGAAUUUUUUUUAUAGAUACGUUAUCUUUAUUUUAAAUCCUAACCUGCUCCCCUAUUUAUCCCAAAAACCUGCACCAUAUUUGGGUGAAGUGUUAUUAUGAAGUGAGUAUUAGUAAUAUUGGGCAUUUUGAGGUAGGUACAACAUUAUAUUAUUAUUACUAAAUCCCCAUGGAGGAGUCCACAUUACUAAAUCCCCAUGGAGGAGUCCACUAAGGCAGAAUCAGCAUUUAAAGGAACUUUUUCGUCUUUUUCUCUCUUCCCAAAAACCUCUCUUAUAUUAAUUUUGUUUCUUCUUCCUAUCUUCUGCCCACCACGGAGGGUGGCCGCAAAAUGGAAGAAAAGUGUGCGCCAGUGGUGUUGUGUCCCAGGUACAGAGGCUGCGGGAGGGCGGCACUAAUAAAGUACCAUGGGAGGGAGGACAGAUAUUGUGCCAAUACAGUGUCGUGUCCUGUUUUCGGACGGUAGGGAGUAUGUUAAUAAAUGACGAGCAGGGGAACAGGUUGGUUUAUAGUGUCAUGCCCCAGAUGAGGAGGCAAACAGAGGGCGGGUGGCUGUCAAUGAAGUGUCAUGUCCGGGAUGCCAGAGGAGUGAGGUGCCAGUACACUGUCGUGCCCUUAGCGACAGAUCCGUUCGCUAUGACACUGUGUACUUUAACAUCCCUCCCCCCUUCUGCUUACUUCAAUAUCAUUCACUAUUCUGCAAAUCAGCUAUUUGCGCCAUCUCAAGCGUUCAGCACUGACUACAGAUAUGUGUGGCUUACAGGACACAGAAAAGUUGGGAGUUGCCUCAGGGCU